UCAAGCGAAGAAGAGCACAGGGUGAAUGCCUUGGCAUCAGGAGCCGAAGAAGGACGUGACAAGCUGCGAAAAGCUGCGGGGAGCUGCAAAUAAGCCUUGAUCCGCAGAUAUCCGAAUUGGGAAACCACGCCGAUGAAGAAUCGGUGAUCGUGCAAUGAAUCCAUAGUUGUACGAGGGGAACCUCCCGAACUGAAACAUCUAAGUAGGGAGAGGAAGAGAAAUCAAACGAGAUUCCGUGAGUAGUGGCGAGCGAAAAUGGAAGAGGCUAAACCGAUGGUAGCAAUACGAUCGGGGUUUCGGACUGCGGAAUGCAUUGCGGACGUGUAGUCGAACGGCAUGGGAAGGCCGGCCAAAGACGGUGAGAGCCCGGUAGACGAAACGCGGAAGCAGCAGGCAGGAUCCAGAGUACCGGCGGACACGAGGAAUCCGGCGGGAAGAUGGGGGGACCACCCUCCAAGCCUAAAUACUACCUGAUGACCGAUAGUGGAGCAGUACUGUGAAGGAAAGGUGAAAAGAACCCCGGGAGGGGAGUGAAAAAGAACCUGAAACCCUGUGUUUACAAGCACACAAAGCACGUUCAGGUGCGAUGUGGUACUUUUUGUAGAACGGUCCGGCGAGUUAAUGUAUGCAGCGAGGUUAAGCACUGAAGGUGCGCAGCCGAAGGGAAACCGAGUGUGAAUAGCGCGUAAAGUUGCAUGGAUUAGACCCGAAACCGAGUGACCUAUCCAUGAGCAGGUUGAAGGUGGGGUAAAGCCCACUGGAGGACCGAACCGACCCCCGUUGAAAAGUUGGCGGAUGACUUGUGGAUAGCGGAGAAAUUCCAAUCGAACUCGGAGAUAGCUGGUUCUCCCCGAAAUAGCUUUAGGGCUAGCCUCGUAUAGAUUUACCGGGGGUAAAGCACUGAAUGGUCUAGGGGUCGAAAGAUUACCGAAACCUAUCAAACUAAGAAUACCGGAUAAAUGCGUACGGGAGUCAGACUACGUGAGAUAAGUCUCGUGGUCAAAAGGGAAACAGCCCAGAUCUACAGCUAAGGUCCCAAAUGGUAUACUAAGUGGAGAAGGAUGUGACGAUGCUAAGACAACUAGGAUGUUGGCUUAGAAGCAGCCACUCAUUAAAAGAGUGCGUAAUAGCUCACUAGUCGAGUGACGUUGCGCCGAAAAUUUAACGGGGCUAAGUAUACAACCGAAGCUUAGGCAGUGAAAACUGGGUAGGGGAGCGUUCCAUACGGGGAGAAGUCUGAGCGAAAGCACAGGUGGACUGUAUGGAAGAGAGAAUGCCGGAAUGAGUAGCGAGAAUUGCGUGAGAAUCGUAAUGGCCGAAAAUCUAAGGUUUCUUGGGGAAGGUUCGUCCGCCCAAGGUAAGCCGGGAGCUAAGGCGAGGCCGAAAGGCGUAGUCGAUGCACAUACGGUGGAAAUUCCGUAGCCGCCAGCCACUUAAAGGUACUGACACAAUGUGAAAGCUUGACCCGGGCGUUGGUCGCCCCGGGCGAAAGGGACUGAAAUACAAGUAGGGAAGCAAGCGGACACAGUGGCGAGAAAAGGUACCGGGGAUGUGGAAGGCGCCCGUACCGCAAACCGACACAGGUAGAUGAGGAGAGGAUCCUAAGGCCAGCGGGAGAAGGGUUGUUAAGGAACUCGGCAUAUUGACCCCGUAACUUCGGGAGAAGGGGUGCCUGCGCAAGCAGGCCGCAGUGAAAAGGCCCAGGCGACUGUUUACCAAAAACAUAGGUCUCUGCGAAACCGAAAGGUGAAGUAUAGGGGCUGACGCCUGCCCGGUGCUGGAAGGUCAAGGGGAAGUGUAAGAGCAAUCGAAGCACAGAACUUAAGCCCCAGUAAACGGCGGCCGUAACUAUAACGGUCCUAAGGUAGCGAAAUUCCUUGUCAGGUAAGUUCUGACCCGCACGAAUGGCGUAACGAUCUGGGCACUGUCUCAACAGCCCGCCCGGCGAAAUUGUAGUACCGGUGAAGAUGCCGGUUACCCGCGACUAGACGGAAAGACCCCAUGGAGCUUUACUGUAGCUUGAUACUGGAUUUCGGCACAUGAUGUACAGGAUAGGUGGGAGCCGUAGAAACAGGGGCGUCAGCUUCUGCGGAGGCAACCUUGGGAUACCACUCUUGAUGUAUCGGGAUUCUAACCAGCCCCCGUGGAACCGGGGGUGGGACAAUGUCAGGUGGGCAGUUUGACUGGGGCGGUCGCCUCCUAAAGCGUAACGGAGGCGUUCAAAGGUCGGCUCAGCGCGGACGGAAAUCGCGCAAUGAGUAUAAACGCAAAAGCCGGCCUAACUGCGAGACCAACAAGUCGAGCAGUAACGAAAGUUGGAGUUAGUGAUCAGACGGUAGUGAGUGGAAAUGCCGUCGCUUAACGGAUAAAAGCUACCCUGGGGAUAACAGGCUGAUCUCCCCCAAGAGUUCACAUCGACGGGGAGGUUUGGCACCUCGAUGUCGGCUCAUCACAUCCUGGGGCUGAAUUCGGUCCCAAGGGUUCGGCUGUCCGCCGAUUAAAGUGGUACGCGAGCUGGGUUCAGAACGUCGUGAGACAGUUCGGUCCCUAUCUGUCGUGGGCGAAGGAUAUUUGAGAGGAGCUGUCCUUAGUACGAGAGGACCGGGAUGGACAUACCUCCGGUGCACCAGUUGUCCUGCCAAGGGCACAGCUGGGUAGCUGUGUAUGGAUGUGAUAAACGCUGAAAGCAUCUAAGCGUGAAGCACACCUCAAGAUAAGAUAUCCCACAGCUUUAAGCUGGUAAGACCCCUUCUAGACUAGGAGGUAGAUAGGUCGGAGGUGGAAGCGCAGUAAUGUGUGUAGCUGACCGAUACUAAUAGGUUGAGGGCUUGA
rnacentral:rRNA from 1 species